rnacentral:rRNA from 1 species
UACGUAGGUGGCAAGCGUUGUCCGGAUUUACUGGGCGUAAAGGGCGUGCAGGCGGUCUGUUAAGUCUAAGGUGAAAGCUCCCGGCUCAACUGGGAGAGGUCCUUGGAUACUGGCGGACUUGAGGGAGGCAGAGGAAAGUGGAAUUCCCGGUGUAGUGGUGAUAUGCGUAGAUAUCGGGAGGAACACCAGUGGCGAAGGCGGCUUUCUGGGCCUUACCUGACGCUGAGACGCGAAAGCGUGGGGAGCGAACCGG